rnacentral:lncRNA from 1 species
CAAGAUGAGGACGAAUAUCCGUCAAAUAUAAAUAAAGAAAACAAAUAUGAUAUUCGAGCUGUCAGUACAAAAGGUGAGACGGGAAAAUAAAUUACCCCAGAAAUAUUAAGGUGCACAAAAGUAUUCAGAACAUCGUAAUUGUUCAAAGUUACUUGAAUAUCAAAAUGAAAAUUUAGAAACAAGCAAUCGAUUCCUCACAACGCCCCACGUGAAAUGAGUAAUUUUACGUUAUUAUAACAAUUCAGAUGGAAAAACAUUCAACGUUUAUUUAUAAGUAUUCUAACUUUAUAACCUUGAUUAAUACCUAGAAAGUAUAGACAAACGUUGGUUUCGCAGUUAUUUACAAUUGAAUUUCCGCUGUCGAAUUACCUACUCGAAGUACGAGUGUUGCUACCGACUGAGCUUUCUAGAGACUGGUAUUUGGUUAACUUCUUUUUCGGGAAUAAAAUUAUGCUACCCAUAAAGAAAUAUUCAUAUAUGCUACAAUCCUCGAUGUAGUAUCUUGCCUGAAUAAAUAAUGUCUCGUAUCAACAGUCACAAGACAAAAAUGGAAUACAAUAUAACGGAAAAGAACUGCAUUACACAACAUGGAGAGGGUACACGCUGAAAGUAACAACCAUAGAAUUGUUUCCCAAGAUAUUGAAUAACAUCAUCUUUUUCAUAAGCAUCACAAAAUCUUCUAAUAAUUCCUGCUCAUAUUGUCCUGAAUAUUACCGUAGCUUCAAUUUCGU